rnacentral:rRNA from 1 species
ACGAAGGGGGCUAGCGUUGCUCGGAAUCACUGGGCGUAAAGCGCACGUAGGCGGGUCGUUAAGUCAGGGGUGAAAUCCUGGAGCUCAACUCCAGAACUGCCUUUGAUACUGGCGACCUCGAGUCCGGGAGAGGUGAGUGGAACUGCGAGUGUAGAGGUGAAAUUCGUAGAUAUUCGCAAGAACACCAGUGGCGAAGGCGGCUCACUGGCCCGGUACUGACGCUCAUGCACGAAAGCGUGGGGAGCAAACAGGA